GCGGAUGUGGCGAAAUUGGUAGACGCACUAGACUUAGGAUCUAGCGCCGCGAGGCAUGGGGGUUCGAGUCCCUCCAUCCGCACAA
rnacentral:tRNA from 7 species